rnacentral:lncRNA from 1 species
CACAAAUAAUCUCUGCCUCUGAAUCUACAUUUUUAUGACACGGUUAUGCUAAUACAAGACAAACUUAUGUUUUGCUGUGUGCCUAAUCCACCUCAAAUUAAACCAUUUGUAUUCCUAUAAUCCAGCCAACUCUUUUCGCACCUCACGAAAGAGAGGACGAGAGGGCCCCCAGACGUACCGCUGAUAAAGAGGGACUAGAUCUGAAAGCAAAGGAGGUUGCGUUUUCACCCUGUUUUUCCCGUCUCAGAGAAAUUUGGGUAGACGGUCUCCUUGGGUGUCCGGCUUGUCAGAGAGGGCCAAGGGAGGAGUCACCUGCGCAGCGGCCUUUUGUCAUUCAUGCAAAAGUAUCGUUGAACGUUCUGCUUCCAGUUGCAAGCUGUACGUGCACACGCCGGCGCGCUCGGUAGGCCCUGCGGGAGCACGCGGGGCAGCCCACAGAGCCUAAAAAAAGCUGGUCAAUAGCAGAUAAAAUCCUAU